rnacentral:lncRNA from 1 species
UAAGUACAACAAAAAGAAGUUAAACCUUAUAAAUAAGUCUGACCAACCAAUUCUAGCAAGCAGAAUACAGAUGAAAGGAUCAUUCACUUGGGAAUGUCCUGAUAUGCAUCAUCGACUAAACCCAGAUUACAACCAUGGCCUCCUUCCUUGCUCCUUAAUCCUGAAAAAGCAAAUAAUGUUUUUGAUCAACUUUACCCUACAAUAGAACAACAUAUAAUAGCCACAACUUACAUCAGCAUCAGAACGCGGCAAGGGGCUGCGAGAACCAGCACGUCUACCCCG